rnacentral:lncRNA from 1 species
GGAAGAGAGUGUGGUGGUUGGAGCCUGGUGCUGGGAGUGGAGGCCCUCAGACUGUUUCUCCAUUUUGGUCAUGGGAAGGAAGUCAAGCCUCAGAUCUGACCGUGGAGUGAAAGCCAUUGAGAUUUGAUGGUCCAGGAAUCCUAAAUGGUGACUUCAAUGUGAAAGUAGAUAGAGUAGAAAAUGAUCAAAAAGAUAUUGGAAAAUAUUGCCCUAAUCAAGAAGUAAAAGAGACUAGAGAUUGGUAAUCUUAGAAGUUUCAUACCUCUCGGUCAUGCAUAUCUUCAAGAAAAUAAAUGAAAAAUGCUAGACA